UGAAGAAAGCAACUCAUUGUGUACACAUUAAGAGAGGGUUUACCUGGCAAAACCGGCGCUCAGCUCCAUUUCUGACCGGCGCGGCCGCAUCGGGCAGCGUACGCAGACAGCUUUAGCGAACAGAAAGAAGAGCUCCAGAACCGAUCAAUUUCUUCCCCCGCUGCGCAGGGAGCUCGAGGGGACUACCUCAGCCUGCUUCAUUUUAACAAGCCCUACACGAUGCAAAUGGCAAUCUUUCAGAUCAAAACAUACCGGUGCACACAGUCAGCGUUAAUACCAUUCACCAAUGGGAACACAAAUGCCUUCUCACAGCAUUUCACCAAAUGAACGCGGCCGCAGAAGCCAAGUCCAAAAUACGUUCAGCUACCUCGUUGACUUGUUCCCCCCAUACCGAACACCAUCAGACAUGUUUUUCCUCUCUCUCCAUUUGCCAUCUCUAUGUUUCUCUCACUCAUCUCUCAUUCAAGCAAGUGGCUCUCCUCCCUGCCAGUGCUGCUGCUCAGGCAACCAGAAAUACAGUGCUAUAGUUUGCAUGCUGAUAAACAAAGCAGUUGGCCUGGGACUGAAAAUGCCACCUCCACCAGACCAGGGCCUGGAAUUCCAACUGCGUUCUUGAACUUGGAUUUCAGUUAUCCAUCAUCUUAGAAAAAGAAGAUAAGAAAUAUUACUGCAGGCACAUAAGCUGGGUGUAAGCAUAGCUUCACUUUCCCAAGCUUUUCUGUAGGAAUAAAGUAGUACUAGGAAAAAAAGGGGGGGGGGGGGGGAAGCUCAUACAAUUUAAUUCGAUUUUAUCGGGGGAUGUAGAAUAAGAGCAUGCAUGAAAAUGCCCAUCUGCACUAACUUAUCAAAACAAACAGUGUAAAAUCUUACCACAAGGAGUCUAUAGAAAACAGUGGUAAUGGAAUCAGAGAGGGGAAGGAAAAAACCAUCCUGGGUGUGUGCACCAGUCAAGGAGCAUUACUGAUCAUCAUCUGUGUUUCCAUCUCUCUGUGCGCCUAUAAUUUGUCUUACAUAUAUUCCAUGUUUAAGUAUCUUCACGUUUAAAUACUACAGACAUUUCUAGCCACAUUCUUACAAUACAACUACCUCAAGGCAACUGAAGAAGUAUAAUUCAGUGGCACUUCACAGAAACUGCACAGUGAAUUGUGUCAAAUGUGUAUUUACCAAAAAGCAAAGCUCAAGUCUUCUGGCAAGGAGCAAGAAUGUAAAAUACAUUUUAUUAGCUGCAAAGAAUCAAUUUGAAAACAAGUACAUCGUUUACUUAGCAUAACAUGUUGGGAUCUCCAGAGAUCCCUUCUAACCCUACAAUUCUGUGAUUCUGUGAAAUUCUGCCAUACACUGUGGUACCUUGUUCAAAGCAUAGCUGGAGAAUAUCAUUAAAUUUGAAAUAAAUAUCAAGUAAUCGUCAAAUAUGUGGUUCUCUCCUUAUUCAAAAUCCUAAGUAAAGAAAUACAACUCACAUGUUCUAUGCUCCUGAGCAAAGUUAGAACAAUAUUGUCACCGUCCACUGGUCUUAAGACACUUUGGCCUUGUGUGCUUAUGACUGGAAGGCACUUGGUGCAUCCCUGGGUGUGCUGCUCACAAAUGAAAAAAUCCCGCUUACCUGUUUAUAUGUGGUUGGACAAAUUGCAGCAGGCUAUUCCUUUAAAGCUACCUNUUCCUUUCUGUUAGAACCAAAACACUCCAGUUGGCAUCCCAUUCUAUCGCCCAUACUGCAGUGAAAUGUAAUAUCCCAAUAAAACCAGGAGGGAAAGAGGAAAACAGCAUCAGCAGCUAUUCCUAAGCAAGAUUAGGAGUUUAGCUCUGUCUAACUGGGGGAUGAGAUGUGUCCCUCAGUGGGUCUUUUCCCACUCCCCCAUCAGCCUCCCACCUGACAGGAAGCUCGAGGUGUGGAACAUAGAAAAGAAGACGAUGGAGCGUAAAUAUUUCCCCAGUGAAAACCCCAAUAGUCUUUACUGAGAGCUGACAUGAAUUGCUUGUUACACUGGCCCCAGGAUAUCACAGCUUGAAGCAAGAGCACACAUACACAGAGCCACCAACCAUCCUCAAACCUUCUGCGCUGUGUAUUUGUGCGUGUGCAUGUAGAGGAGGCUCCUAUGACAUCUGACUUGGAGCCUGUACACCUGCUGUACAAAAUGCAUUAUCUCCAGCUUGCCUUUUUUUUCCACCUGACUGUCCCAGCCCAUCUUCCAUCACUCUUCUUUCUUUCUUUCUCUCCCCCUACUCCCCCUCCACUCCCUUCUCUCUGGCAUUUUUAUUAUUAAUGUUAGUGCUAUUAUUACUGUCCAAGCAUAAGCUGAUCCACAGGGAACCCUGUGUAAUUUAACCCCUCAAGCACUAAAUUCCUUCACAUGUGCCAAAGACACAGGUUUGUUGUUGCCUCCAGCAAUAUCCCAGGAAGACGAGUGAUGGCGGUGUCAUAUCAUCACACAGCGACUUAAUCUAUUGCGACACCCAGGGAACAGGUAACUGAAGAGAUUUACAGAACAUGCUCUCUGACUGAAUACAAAAUGUUAUCCCUUUUCCCGACAAACUCACGUCACAUGCAACAAAGUGAAAAAUUUUGCCCUCCUAUGGCUCAUCGUUUUCAUGACUGCUUUAUCCAAUCCCACCACCGUAUGAGUCACCCCACUGUACAUCUUCUAGCAAUACAACACUUUUUUUCAUGUUUUCGUUCUCUCUCCUUUGUUCUUCCCAGGUUUUCUGAUUAAUAAACAGUCAGAUCAUGUCGAACUGCCACGUAACAUAGCAUCAGAAAUCUUUUAUCCAUAUGCUAGGCGACUGGAACCAUCACUUACAUCAGGGUUAUCUUUUUGUGCUGUCUUUAUGUUGUCUGACAUCUAAUGCAUGCUUUUUAAAACAACAGAUUAAAGGGGUUCCACUUUUUAAAGGUGCAAGGAAUGCUAAAUUACAUACAGUUUAGUUACAAUUAACACUGACAAGCAGGAGGGCAUCUACAUCAAGUACUGAGAAUCAAAAAACUAAUCUGAUUGUCCAUCAUGAACUUUCCACAUGGGUCUCCCAUUUUGUUAUCCAUAAACAUUAAGAAAACUCAGUGUCAUAUAGAAGCUGUUCUCUCCAAGAUCAAGGUGAGAUCCUUUAUCUUCUAACAUUUCACUGACCUGGGAAACAAGAAUUUGCUGCAGAAUUAAUCCUGAACUGCAGCAGACAAAUGAGAAUAAUGAAAAUGUCUUCAACUAACUCAGAAUAACCUUACUGUGCUGGUAAGUCAGAGCUUUCACCAUGGGAAAUUAUCAUUUCUGAAAUAGCUAGAAGGAACUGGUAACAAAGGCUGAGUUCGCCUGCUCAAGAGUAAACAAAAUAUCCCUCCAUAAGGUGCUAGCUACUUGUAUCUCUAGACACUUCCAAACCAAUGCAGGUAGGGGCUUUGGUACUGAAGGCAACUGAAACCUGUCCCAAUGGAAAUAUCUUAUUUUUCCUUCUGUAAACACAGUUUCUNCCUUCCAAGCCCUACAAUUCUGUGAUUCUGUGUUAUGUCUGUACAUGCUGUAUCUGACAUCUUGGACCUCUCUUCCUAGUUCUCCACGUAACAAAAUCCACAUUGUGUGCACAAUGCGGAGUUUAAGAAACACCGUGUUGGAGGGGGCCAUCCACACAUUUGUUUUCAUGUGCAGAAAGAGAGUUUUAGUUUAGGGCAAUGAGCACGUAGAGCAGUGAGGGAGGAUGUCUUUCUUUUUGUCCUGCAUCAUAUAUCCUAAAGCAUAAUAUACAUUUUGCAUAGCAUACUGAAUUUUACAUUGCUAGCUUAUACUUUAAUUGUCCUGAACUUCCAGGUAAGGUUAUUCUUUGCUGUUGAACAAAUGCUGAAUUUCUCCCCAGAGGUGGCUGCAACGAGUACUGAUUCUCUAUCUUUUCCUCACUCACACAGUUUUGAAGAUUUACAGGCACGAAUAUCAUCAUGUUAACAUAAAAUGAUAUUAUUAUUGCCAAAAACAAGGCGGUUAGCACAGAGGCAGUGAGGAAUGCAGAAUGCUUGCUUGGAUUCAAAGGCAGCACGAAGCUCCUAGAGCAGUCAGUUGUUUUUAAUUCUACAACCAAUGGCCCAAAAGCUGCUGCCUGCUGCACGAUUUGGAGCGAGAGAUUAGGGCAUGUUCUGCCUCCUUGAGAGUGAGCAAGAGACCAGCCAACUUUUAUUACCCUUAGCACUGAAAAUGGCUUUAUUGCUGAGGAUGAAUGAAACUACCAAUUGCCCUGGUAUCAUACCUCCUAAAGCACUGCAGAUCCUUCAAAUGCUGUCAAGGUGACAGAUCGCUUUUACCCUCAACUGUGCAAGCACAUGGCUAGAGCAAACUUCAUAGAAGGCAUGUGUACAUGGUACAGUGCAGAACAAAUAUUUAGUCCUUAAAUUUGCUGUGAUAAAAAGGGAACCUACAAUAAAAUUAAAUAAUUGAUACUAACCUAUCAGCAUUUUAAAACAUUUUUCUAAACUAUUGUUAGAAAUGAGAUAGCACAUACUACUAUGCUGCUGUAACUACUUGUGUCUGUUGAUUUAUCAAAAAAUAACUAUUACAGAUGGAAGAGAGAUAGCUGGAUAAUUAAGAAGAAAAGCAAAGAAGGGAAACAUUUUCCAUAGAUUGAUUCAAGGUCUGCUUGAAUCUCAAGUCAGGUCAUCUAAAAGGCUUAUGUAGUUACCCAAAAGAAAACAGCUUCUUUCUUCUGCCCUGUGAGGACGGAAGUUGUAGACCACAUUUUGCUGAUUGCAUUAUUGCAUCUUGAAGAUACUUAUCAGGAUGGCUUCUACAUGCCUGCUCCUUCUGGAACAGAGCAAGCAACAGAGUUGACACAGAAGAAUUAGAUGAGAAAUUCAAGUAAUUAAUGAGCCCUGCAGGCGGAACAUCAUUUCUUCUGCUCUUUGGGGCAUUUGCAAGGUCAGGUUUCUUUUUCGGCAUCGGGUCAGAUUCACUCAUCAGUCAACAUAUACAGGAUUUUUAAGAAUAGCAGUGACCACACAUUUACCUUGCCAUUAUGUCAUAAAAUUCAAUUGUCCCCACUAUCAAGCCAAACAAUGUGGUGUGUUUUGUCUGAUGCCCACUGAAAGGGAAAAACUCUUCAGGCCAACUCAGCUUUAUCAGAGUUCUUUAAC
rnacentral:lncRNA from 1 species